UACAGAGGGUGCAAGCGUUGUUCGGAAUUACUGGGCGUAAAGCGCGCGUAGGCGGCUUUGUAAGUUAGAGGUGAAAGCCCGGGGCUCAACCCCGGAACUGCCUUUAAGACUGCAUCGCUUGAAUCCAGGAGAGGUGAGUGGAAUUCCGAGUGUAGAGGUGAAAUUCGUAGAUAUUGGGAAGAACACCGGUGGCGAAGGCGGCUCACUGGCUCAUUACUGACGCUCAGGCGCGAUAGCGUGGGGAUCAAACAGG
rnacentral:rRNA from 1 species